UAGCUCAGCUUUCUCUUCACUCACGCACAAAUCUUUUGCCUUUUACUAAGGAUUUCCGUGGAGGGGAACAUUGACAAGUUCUUCUUAUUUUUGAAGGCUCUGCUAUGGCAAAGCU
ensembl:snRNA U5 U5 spliceosomal RNA